rnacentral:rRNA from 1 species
AUCUUCCGCAAUGGACGAAAGUCUGACGGAGCAACGCCGCGUGAGUGAUGAAGUCUUUCGGGUCGUAAAACUCUGUUGUUAGGGAAGAACAAGUGCUAGUUGAAUAAGCUGUCACCUUGACGGUACCUAACAAGAAAGCCACGUCUAACUACGUGCCAGCAGCCGCGGUAAUACGUAGGUGGCAAGCGUUAUCCGGAAUUAUUGGGCGUAAAGCGAGCGCAGGUGGUUUCUUAAGUCUGAUGUGAAAGGCCACGGCUCAACCGUGGAGGGUCAUUGGAAACUGGGAGACUUGAGUGCAGAAGAGGAAAGUGGAAUUCCAUGUGUAGCGGUGAAACGCGUAGAGAUAUGGAGGAACACCAGUGGCGAAGGCGACUUUCUGGUCUGUAACUGACACUGAGGCGCGAAAGCGUGGGGAGCAAAUAG